rnacentral:tRNA from 1 species
AUUUUCCUAGUACAAACAGUAUAAGUGACUUCCAAUCACACGAUCCUGGUUCAACCCCAGGGGGAAAUA